rnacentral:rRNA from 1 species
AGAGUUUGAUUAUGGCUCAGGAUGAACGCUGGCGGCGUGCCUAAUACAUGCAAGUCGAACGAGGCCCUUUGUAUUCGUACGAAGGUGUCCUAGUGGCGAACGGGUGAGUAACACGUAGGUGACCUGCCCCGAAGCGGGGGACAACUCCGGGAAACUGGAGCUAAUACCCCAUGUUCUCCAUGGUGUUAGAGGACCAUGGAGCAAAGGAGCAAUCCACUUUGGGAGGGGCCUGCGGCCCAUCAGCUAGUUGGUAGGGUAAUGGCCUACCAAGGCUAUGACGGGUAGGGGACCUGAGAGGGUGGUCCCCCACACUGGAACUGAAACACGGACCAGACACCUACGGGUGGCAGCAGUAGGGAAUAUUGCACAAUGGGCGAAAGCCUGAUGCAGCAACGCCGCGUGCGCGAUGAAGGCCUUCGGGUUGUAAAGCGCUUUUCUGGGGGAAGAGGAAGGACGGUACCCCAGGAAUAAGUCUCGGCUAACUACGUGCCAGCAGCCGCGGUAAAACGUAGGAGGCGAGCGUUAUCCGGAUUUACUGGGCGUAAAGCGCGUGUAGGCGGUUAGGUAAGUCGGACGUGAAAGCUCCCGGCUCAACUGGGAGAGGCCGUUCGAAACUACCUGACUCGAGGGCAGUAGAGGGAGGUGGAAUUCAGGGUGUAGCGGUGAAAUGCGUAGAUAUCCUGAGGAACACCAGUGGCGAAGGCGGCCUCCUGGGCUGACCCUGACGCUCAGACGCGAAAGCUAGGGUAGCAAACGGGAUUAGACACCCCGGUAGUCCUAGCUGUAAACGAUGCAGACUUGGUGUUGGCAGUUUAAACACUGUCAGUGCCGUA